rnacentral:rRNA from 1 species
AGAGUUUGAUCCUGGCUCAGAUUGAACGCUGGCGGCAGGCUUAACACAUGCAAGUCGAGCGGGGGAAGGUAGCUUGCUACCGGACCUAGCGGCGGACGGGUGAGUAAUGCUUAGGAAUCUGCCUAUUAGUGGGGGACAACAUCUCGAAAGGGAUGCUAAUACCGCAUACGUCCUACGGGAGAAAGCAGGGGAUCUUCGGACCUUGCGCUAAUAGAUGAGCCUAAGUCGGAUUAGCUAGUUGGUGGGGUAAAGGCCUACCAAGGCGACGAUCUGUAGCGGGUCUGAGAGGAUGAUCCGCCACACUGGGACUGAGACACGGCCCAGACUCCUACGGGAGGCAGCAGUGGGGAAUAUUGGACAAUGGGGGGAACCCUGAUCCAGCCAUGCCGCGUGUGUGAAGAAGGCCUUAUGGUUGUAAAGCACUUUAAGCGAGGAGGAGGCUACUCUAGUUAAUACCUAGGGAUAGUGGACGUUACUCGCAGAAUAAGCACCGGCUAACUCUGUGCCAGCAGCCGCGGUAAUACAGAGGGUGCGAGCGUUAAUCGGAUUUACUGGGCGUAAAGCGUGCGUAGGCGGCUUAUUAAGUCGGAUGUGAAAUCCCCGAGCUUAACUUGGGAAUUGCAUUCGAUACUGGUGAGCUAGAGUAUGGGAGAGGAUGGUAGAAUUCCAGGUGUAGCGGUGAAAUGCGUAGAGAUCUGGAGGAAUACCGAUGGCGAAGGCAGCCAUCUGGCCUAAUACUGACGCUGAGGUACGAAAGCAUGGGGAGCAAACAGGAUUAGAUACCCUGGUAGUCCAUGCCGUAAACGAUGUCUACUAGCCGUUGGGGCCUUUGAGGCUUUAGUGGCGCAGCUAACGCGAUAAGUAGACCGCCUGGGGAGUACGGUCGCAAGACUAAAACUCAAAGGAAUUGACGG